rnacentral:rRNA from 1 species
CACGUGGGUAACCUACCUAUAAGACUGGGAUAACUUCGGGAAACCGGAGCUAAUACCGGAUAAUAUUUCGAACCGCAUGGUUCGAUAGUGAAAGAUGGUUUUGCUAUCACUUAUAGAUGGACCCGCGCCGUAUUAGCUAGUUGGUAAGGUAACGGCUUACCAAGGCGACGAUACGUAGCCGACCUGAGAGGGUGAUCGGCCACACUGGAACUGAGACACGGUCCAGACUCCUACGGGAGGCAGCAGUAGGGAAUCUUCCGCAAUGGGCGAAAGCCUGACGGAGCAACGCCGCGUGAGUGAUGAAGGUCUUCGGAUCGUAAAACUCUGUUAUUAGGGAAGAACAUACGUGUAAGUAAUUGUGCACGUCUUGACGGUACCUAAUCAGAAAGCCACGGCUAACUACGUG